AUUGAACGCUGGCGGCAGGCUUAACACAUGCAAGUCGAGCGAGCGGCGGACGGGUGAGUAAUGUCUGGGAAACUGCCUGAUGGCGGGGGAUAACUACUGGAAACGGUAGCUAAUACCGCAUACCAUCAGAUGUGCCCAGACGGGAUUAGCUAGUAGGUGGGGUAAUGGCUCACCUAGGCGACGAUCCCUAGCUGGUCUGCGAGGAUGACCAGCCACACUGGAACUGAGACACGGUCCGGACUCCUACGGGGGUAGGCGGUGGGGAAUAUUGCACAAUGGGCGCAAGCCUGAUGCAGCCAUGCCGCGUGUGUGAAGAAGGCCUUCGGGUGGUAAGGCACUUUCAGCGAGGAGGCGUUACUCGCAGAAGAAGCAUCGGCUAACUCCGUGCCAGCAGCCGCGGUAAUUC
rnacentral:rRNA from 1 species